AUUCCACACAAGAAGAUCACACCAUCCCUCCAUAUUGCAAGAGAGGAGAUCCAAUCGAUAUAGAAUUUGAGGUUAUAUCAUCAGAAGACGAAGAGACGGAUGUGAAGGAUGAUCAGCAGUCUAUGGAGGACGAUGGAAUAAUAAGGAUAGUAAUCGAUGAUGACACUCCUACAGAGAUCAGCACAGUAGAUGGACGGGAGAUGAGGAAAACCUCAGAGGAUUGUA